rnacentral:tRNA from 1 species
GGGGAUUUAGCUCAGCGGUGUAAGCACCUGCCUGGCAAGCUUGAGGUCGUGAGUUCAAUCCCCA